AACGAGCGAGAGAGAGCUUGCUUUCUCGAGCGAGUGGCGAACGGGUGAGUAGCGCGUGAGGAACCUGCCUCAAAGAGGGGGACAACAGUUGGAAACGACUGCUAAUACCGCAUAAGCCCACGACCCGGCAUCGGGUAGAGGGAAAAGGAGCAAUCCGCUUUGAGAUGGCCUCGCGUCCGAUUAGCUAGUUGGUGAGGUAACGGCCCACCAAGGCGACGAUCGGUAGCCGGACUGAGAGGUUGAACGGCCACAUUGGGACUGAGACACGGCCCAGACUCCUACGGGAGGCAGCAGUGGGGAAUAUUGCACAAUGGGGGAAACCCUGAUGCAGCGACGCCGCGUGGAGGAAGAAGGUCUUCGGAUUGUAAACUCCUGUUGUUGAGGAAGAUAAUGACGGUACUCAACAAGGAAGUGACGGCUAACUACGUGCCAGCAGCCGCGGUAAAACGUAGGUCACAAGCGUUGUCCGGAAUUACUGGGUGUAAAGGGAGCGCAGGCGGGAAGGCAAGUUGGAAGUGAAAUCCAUGGGCUCAACCCAUGAACUGCUUUCAAAACUGUUUUUCUUGAGUAGUGCAGAGGUAGGCGGAAUUCCCGGUGUAGCGGUGGAAUGCGUAGAUAUCGGGAGGAACACCAGUGGCGAAGGCGGCCUACUGGGCACCA
rnacentral:rRNA from 1 species